rnacentral:rRNA from 1 species
AGCGAACGCUGGCGGCAGGCCUAACACAUGCAAGUCGAACGAAGCCUUCGGGCUUAGUGGCGGACGGGUGAGUAACACGUGGGAACGUACCUUUUGGUUCGGAACAACUCAGGGAAACUUGAGCUAAUACCGGAUGAGCCCUUAGGGGGAAAGAUUUAUCGCCGAAAGAGCGGCCCGCGUUAGAUUAGCUAGUUGGUGAGGUAAAGGCUCACCAAGGCAACGAUCGAUAGCUGGUCUGAGAGGAUGAUCAGCCACACUGGGACUGAGACACGGCCCAGAAUCCGACGGGAGGCAGCAGUGGGGAAUCUUGCGCAGUGGGCGAAAGCCUGACGAAGCCAUGCCGCGUGAAUGAUGAAGGUCUUAGGAUUGUAAAAUUCUUUUACCAGGGACGAUAAUGACGGUACCUGGAGAAAAAGCCCCGGCUAACUUCGUGCCAGCCGCCGCCGUAACAC